CACCAGUGGUAUUACUACAGCAGUGUCACAGAGCCAAAGGCCUCAGUCUCACCAGUUACCACCAUCAGUAUGUCCAGCUUGGUGCUGUUUCUAAGAGAGGUUCUCAGGGAGGUCCCUGGAUGGCUGCUGUGGUUUGGGGUCUUCCUGCCUGUCACUCUGCUGUUGAUACAGAUCAUGGUUUACCUGAAUUGGAAGCUGAAGGAAGUAGAGGCAGAGUUGUCUGCAGCACCUUACCCCAGGGACAUGGCCUCCAGGCAGCACAACAGAACCACAUCACCCAGGCAGAGACGACGGGCUGGGGGGAGAAUGUACACCUAAGAAGGGGAAGUGUGGAUGGCCCCACGCUGGAUAUUGCCCUGCUGGGUACAGUACAGCCUUCUGAGAACUCAUUUGCAAACAGAACAGUGUCACAGUGAGAGUACAGUGGAUGGAGAUGCUGAAUAUAAGUACUGAGGACUGUCCACCAACAGAUCAUGGAUAAAACACGAGCUAAGCCAUGGAUGGAGUGAAGCAACAACCAAUAUGGAAUUCCAAAUUACGGUUAACAAGGUGUUGGAAUGCAGAGACAAAGUACAUUUUUUAUUGCUGCAAUUAUAGUGUUUAUUAUACCUUUCUAAGAAUGGUUCAAGAUAUUUUCAGAAUAUUUCCUUAUGGUUGAAAAGGUUAAGAAACUGAGAAGUCCACAAAAAGCUUUUGUUAAAGGGAUACUUCAGUGUUUUGGUACUGAGGCCCUUUAUCUACUUCCGCAGAGUCAGAUUAACUUGUGGAUACCGUUUUCAUGUCUCUGCGUGUAGUUUUAAGGAAGUUGCUAGCAUGCUAGCAGAUACUUAUAGACUUCCCAUGUAUUGUAUUAAAGAAUGUAAUUUUUAUGUUAACAUAUUUACUUAGGAUCUCACUUGGUGAGAUAAAAAAAAAAGUAAUUAACUACUGAAAACACUAACUAGAUUUUAAAUUUUGUUCAACUACCACCAAGCUACUGCAAAAUAUAGUUCAAUUACUAGCUGAACUACAUAUAGUUCACUACUCCCUAACACUGGUAAAAAGGAACCAAACUCAUCCAAUCAGAGAAUAACAACAUUUUAUUUCAACAGUGUUACACAGAGGGUGGGGUGGCUGUGGGGGAGACAACAUUUUAAAGCUGCUAAAAAUCUAAGAUUAUUUGCUAUACACUGGGCCCAAAUAGCAAAUUGACAUCGUCAUUGGGUUUGGUGAGGUUUGUCAGAUUGCAGAGAGAGCUAAGGGCAGCCAUCUUCUUUACCUACAGGUAAAAGAUAAAAACAGUGGCAAUUUUGUGUAUUUCUUUUAGUUGUCAAAAAACCUCUGAAAUAUAUUAAAAAUAUUUAAGAAGGGGCAAAAAAAAACACAUAAUCUAAAUCAGUUUACUGAUUGACAAAGAAAGAUAGCAAAAAAAUAUAUAUGUUUCUACAAAUAUAUUUCUGAUUAAUGAUGCCAGAAAGUUAUGGAAAAGCAAAAGUUUCCAAGCUGCCUAUGUGUUUCAUGUUUUAAAUGUCAAUUUUGUUGUGUUUUUUCUGAGGGAGGUACAGGAAAAGCACCUGCCCUUUAAUGGAAUGUUUUAGUUAUGACUGCAUAGAGAAGAACAUGUGUUGGCACUGUAGUGCAAUGUACAAAAUGACACAGCGCUUCGUCCUUUGCUAGUCCCUUGGAAACUCACCCAAUUAAAUACAAUUUGCUGUUACUCCUUGUCCCCAGAAACUGAUAAACAUUUGACUCUAAGAGAACAUGGAAGAAGACCAGGACCAAAGCUAAUAUAAUAUAAUACCUGUCCACCUGCAACUGCAUGAAUACAGGAAGAUAGAUAUUGAAAUGACUUUCUCAUAACAUUACCCGUCUGUACAUACUAGGAAUGUGAAUACUACUCAACAAUAAAAAUGACCACUUGAUAAA